rnacentral:rRNA from 1 species
GACGAACGCUGGCGGCGUGCUUAACACAUGCAAGUCGAACGGAAAGGCCCUGCUUUUUUGUGGUGCCCGAGUGGCGAACGGGUGAGUAACACGUGAGUAACCUGCCUUUGACUUUGGGACAACUUCAGGAAACUGGGGCUAAUACCGGAUAGGAGCUGCUGCUGCAUGGUGGGGUUCGGAAAGCUUCGGCGGUUGGGGAUGGACUCGGGGGUUAUUAGCUUGUUGGUUGGGUAGUGGCUUACCAAGGCUUUGACUGGUAGCCGGCCUGAGAGGGUGACCGGGCACAUGGGGACUGAGAUACAGGCCAGACUCCUACAGGAGGCAGCAGUGGGGAGUAUUGCACAAUGGGCGGAAGCCGGAUGCAAAGGCGUCGAGAGAGGAAUGACGGCCUUCGGGUUGUAAACCGCAUUCAGCUGUGACGAAGCGUGAGUGACGGUAAUAAGUGAAGAAGCACCGGCUAACUACGUG